GAUGAACGCUGGCGGCGUGCCUAAUACAUGCAAGUCGAGCGAACAGACGAUGAGCUUGCUCCUCUCACGUUAGCGGCGGACGGGUGAGUAACACGUGGAUAACCCACCUAUAAGACUGGGAUAACUUCGGGAAACCGGAUCUAAUACCGGAUAAUAUAUUGAACCGCAUGGUUCAAUAGUGAAAGACGGCUUUGCUGUCACUUAUAGAUGGUUCCGCGCCGCAUUAGCUAGUUGGUAAGGUAACGGCUUUCCAAGGCAACGAUGCGUAGCCGACCUGAGAGGGUGAUCGGCCACACUGGAAGUGAGACACGGUCCAGUCUCCUACGGGAGGCAGCAGGAGGGAAUCGUCCGCCAUGGGCGAAAGCUUGACGGAGCAACGCCGCGUGAGUGAUGAAGGUCGUCGGAUCGUAAAACUCUGUUAUUAGGGAAGAACAAAUGUGUAAGUAACUAUGCACGUCUUGACGGUACCUAAUCAGAAAGCCACGGCUAACUACGUG
rnacentral:rRNA from 1 species